CGCUGGAUCGUGGAGGAGCGGGCGGACGCCACCAACGUCAACAACUGGCACUGGACGGAGAGAGAUGCUUCAAAUUGGUCCACGGAUAAGCUGAAAACACUGUUCCUGGCAGUGCAGGUUCAAAAUGAAGAAGGCAAGUGUGAGGUGACGGAAGUGAGUAAGCUUGAUGGAGAGGCAUCCAUUAACAAUCGCAAAGGGAAACUUAUCUUCUUUUAUGAAUGGAGCGUCAAACUAAACUGGACAGGUACUUCUAAGUCAGGAGUACAAUACAAAGGACAUGUGGAGAUCCCCAAUUUGUCUGAUGAAAACAGCGUGGAUGAAGUGGAGAUUAGUGUGAGCCUUGCCAAAGAUGAGCCUGACACAAAUCUCGUGGCCUUAAUGAAGGAAGAAGGGGUGAAACUUCUAAGAGAAGCAAUGGGAAUUUACAUCAGCACCCUCAAAACAGGUAUCCCUUGAGUAGUUCUGUAUGCCUUAAGGAGGUAGUUUCCACCUGUUAGACUCUGGUUAAGGGCCUGGACAGUCCUUUCUUUGGCAAAUGGGUAAAGAUUUGGGGGGAGGGGGCUUAUUUCAUCUUAAAGUCAGUCCAUAAGCUCGGAGUAAGGGAAAGAUCUGGAGCUGUGUUGCCUAAUAAUGAUGGUUGAGCAUUUUAGAUGUGGCUAGACCAAACUGAAAUGUACUGUGAUGGCCUGGCGCGGUGGCUCACACUUGUAAUCCCAGCACUGUUGGAUGCUGAGGUGGGCUGAUUGCCUGAGCUCAGGAAUUUGAGACCAGCCUGGGCAACAUGGCG
rnacentral:lncRNA from 10 species